rnacentral:rRNA from 1 species
CCUACGGGUGGCAGCAGUGGGGAAUAUUGCACAAUGGGGGAAACCCUGAUGCAGCGACGCCGCGUGAGUGAAGAAGUAUUUCGGUAUGUAAAGCUCUAUCAGCAGGGAAGAAAAUGACGGUACCUGAUUAAGAAGCCCCGGCUAACUACGUGCCAGCAGCCGCGGUAAUACGUAGGGGGCAAGCGUUAUCCGGAUUUACUGGGUGUAAAGGGAGCGUAGACGGCAGCACAAGUCUGGAGUGAAAUGCCGGGGCUUAACCCCGGAACUGCUUUGGAAACUGUGCAGCUAGAGUGCAGGAGAGGUAAGUGGAAUUCCUAGUGUAGCGGUGAAAUGCGUAGAUAUCGCGCAGAACUCCGAUUGCGAAGGCAGCAUGCCGGCUCCACACUGACGCUGAGGCACGAAAGCGUGGGUAUCGAACAGGAUUAGAUACCCCUGUAGUC